GCGCCGGCUGCGGCCGGUCGGGGCUCCCGGCAGGAGGGCGCCGGGGCCUGGGGCGCGCGUGCCCAAGUCCCGAGAGGCGGCGGCUGCGCCACUGCGGGGCGCGGCGACUCGCUGGGCAGCGGGGACUCGGCGGCCCUGCAGCUCUCGCGUCCCUCCUCCUGCCUCCCUGCGUGACCCGCCUGCUUUGGAGGGCACGCAAGGUCCGCAGUGGGUGCGGGGACGUCCGCAGAACUGGGCCCCCGAAUCUCCGUGGACCUGGGACAGAAACCACGCGCUGGAGCAUCUCAACCUCUGUCUCCAACAACCGGUCCACAGCCAGCUUGCGGCAGAAACCAGAGCACAGACUGCAGGGGCCGGAAGAAGAAGAAGAAGAAGAAAGAGUGAUGUUAAAAUUUUGAAUUCAGAAACAGUUGCCAUGUGGGGAAUUGAUUUUGGCUUGAAACAGGCCACCCGCUUCUCAUCAGUGGCUCCUGGCAGGGUUCCCGGGCUCAGGACACGCCUCCUCCACUCAUUUCCUGGGAAGUCUGUUCCUCCGAGGGCCAUCUCCUCGCCCCUGCAUCACACCUGGAUGCGGUUUCCUUGAGCUGCUGGGUGGCGUUGCCCUGCUCCACUCACUCCACGGCUGUCUUGGCUCCAACAUCCCCUGCCUUUCCUCCUGCUCCUGCCAGCUGAUGGAGAAGGGGUAUUCUGA
rnacentral:lncRNA from 1 species